UAUCUCAGGGCUCUGACAGCUGUGUGGAUAUGAAUGAAACCUGUGUGACUAGACCUGGUUUUGCUUCCAAUUGGCUGCCUCGCCCUCUUGAGAGGGAGAACAAUUAAUUGGCUUACUGAAGUCCAUAAAGCAUGUCAUGCAGAUACUGAGGUAACACAGUCAAAAUAGCAUCGAUGAUUCUUGCAGCUUGAUGAGACAGACUUCCCUUGAAUUGCUGCAAAGUUUAGGACUCUCACCUGUUCUCAAGAGAAUCAUCACUUAAGAGAUUUCCCAGCACUCUAACUGCACAUCUUGAUGGUCGGCGUAUUGCAGCUGAGAAUACUCUGGCGAUUGCGUAGAUGUGAGCUCCCCUGUGCAACACUAACCCAGUCCUUGCCUGUCUCACAGGGAGAAGGGGUGCUGCUUUCACCAGUUAUUUCUGGACAUAUGAAUGCUGAAAAAUUGCUUCUGCAAGACCAGAAUUGCUUUUCACCUAUUAAGAAGCAAGAAUUGGUCUCACGAACUAUAAAGACAAUAUUAAAUUGGACUUUUCUUUGCUAUGCAGCAAAGGAGAAUUUUCCAUUCAAAAAAAGUGUGGAGGAUAGGCCAAUGUUUCUAAAUCACACAUAAUUAAGUAAAAUGGCCUGCAAAAUUGUGAGUUUUAUAUGACUUUUACUUGGAAUUUUAUACCUUCAGGGGGCAGAAAGGGGUGCAGAAAAGCAGCACUGGUAUAAACAUGACUGAGAAUAGCCUGUAGCAUAAUAGAUAGACCACACUAUUGUUGCAUAAAACAAAAUUUUCAGCAAAAUACCCCUGCUCUGCAAGAAAUUCUGUUCCUAUCAGGGGAGGAUAGUGGAAGAGCUCAGAAAAGUGGCUGACAAAGAUGUAACAGGUGGAUUUUUCUCAACAGAGGGUUAACUUCACUCUUUCCUGUGCAAACCUGAGCUCUGAAUUGCUCUGAAGUUCUGCUGUCACUUGUGCCUCGCUGUUCUGAUCAUUUAACCCAAAGGCCUGCAAGGCACCCCCGGCCAAGGCACGAAGAAACAUCCCUCCCCUCUGGAUGACGAAGGUGUCCUGGCAGAUUGGCAGAGCACCGCUUGUGGCAGGUGAUAUGUGUGUUAACAAUGGAUUACAAAGCCAAGGCACUGUGCUUUCUUACACAGAGAAAUUGCAAGAAAACGAUCAGUCAGGUCUGCUGAGGGAAUCUGAAAGAGAUGAAACCCAAGUACCUUCAAAAACUCCUUUUCUUUAGGCUCUGCAUGCAAGUGCACAUUGUACGGCCUCCAUGGAUAAACGAUGCUGGUUAAAAGCAAGGAAAGAAGAUCCUUCUAAAGUGACAUUAUUACAGAUGGCCACUGUGGGAAAGGGAUUCAUUUGCCAUCCCUUAUAAAUACAGUGGCUACACUUUACACAUCACAAGGCUUUUCUUACAUGCCCCAAAGGGUUGUGUAAUUCUAACAAAAGCUUCUGUUGCUCUGGCCCAGGAUAGUUGGGAUUUGAAGAAGUUUUUACAAGGUCUUGUCUGGUUAAAAUACAUUUUAUUAAAAGCUCAAGUCUGCUACUGCUUGCUAUGCUGAGAGAUGUUGUGGGCAGUGAGGAGAAAGGAAAAUUAGGCAAUGGAAAUUUGAUAGGUUGACAGACUUGAUUGAAAAUAAAAAUGCAUUAGGCCUUUCUUUUAGUCCUCUC
ensembl:lncRNA